rnacentral:rRNA from 1 species
AUUGAACGCUAGCGGCAGGCCUAACACAUGCAAGUCGACCGAGUGGCGGACGGUUGAGUAAUGUCUGGGAAACUGCCCGAUGGAGGGGGAUAACUAAUGGAAACGUUAGCUAAUACCGCAUACCAUCUGAUGUGCCCAUAUUGGAGUAGCUAGUAGGUGGGGUAACGGCUCACCUAGGCGACGAUCCCUAGCUGGUCUGAGAGGAUGACCAGCAACACUGGAAGUGAGACACGGUCCAGACUCCUACGGGAGGCAGCAGUGGGGAAUAUUGCACAAUGGGCGAAAGCCUGAUGCAGCCAUGCCUCGUGUAUGAAGAAGGCCUUCGGGUUGUAAAGUACUUUCAGCGAGGAGGCGUUACUCGCAGAAGAAGCACCGGCUAACUCCGUGCCAGCAGCCGCGGUAAUAC